CUUUAUAUGUGUCCCCAGAGAUAUUACAUAUGUAUACAAAAUAAAUCUUUUAAAAUAAUAAUCUUUGCCUUUUUUUCACUUCAUAAUAUAUUUUGGAUGCUGUUCCAAGCACUGAUCUAUUACUUGCUUAUCCUUUUGAUGAGUGCAUAGUAUCCCAUUUUUUUGAUGUUCCAUACAUUAUUUAGCCAGUCCUUUACUGAUGAACAAAGUUCAUUUUUUGUGGUUUCAAUGCAGCAGUGAGUAACCUUGCACAUAUGUCUUUUUAUAAGUACUUUAAUACAGCCAGAGGAUACAUUUUAGGAAGUGACAUUACUGCAUCAAAGAGGAGGUACAUUUUAAACUGUGAUAGAUCCACAGUUCUAUUUAUGAUAGUGUUACAAAGCAGGUUCACUGCCCCUGUGGACACAGAAGCCAGUACCAUGACACCAGCUUUUGAGAAAAUGAAGAGCUUUAUUGUGAGGUUGACCAGCAAAGAGACAGGAGGCCAGACUCCAAUCUGUCUCCAUGAUCCACAGUUCAGGGUGAAAUUUAAAAGGUUGGGGAGUUUCAAAUUUGGAGGCUGAUUGGCUAGUCUUGAAUCAGUUCAUGUAAGCUAUGAACUGAUGUAUGGACUGAUGUUGGAAGUCAGAUUUUCCAUAUUGACCAAUUUCUUGCUUCACAAAGGGCUCUGGUGGCAACAUUUCUAUUUGAGUUAGGUGGGCUGGGGGUUCUUAGUUCCAAGGUCAUCCUGGAGACAUGGCUUUUUAACUUGCACAGGUGAAGUGCUAUUCUCUAAAAUAACUCGUGUUGAUUAAUCAAUCAACCUAUUUAAGGAGGCAAAACCAGUUUCAGCUGGUUUCUGUGCUGUUUCAAUGGGUCAGCCAUUUUCCAUAGAAGUUGUGUCAGCGUACGGGAGUGCUAUCUGCUUGCAUCAUCACCAACACAACAUGUUAUUAAACUUUUGGAUCUUUGUCAAUCUGAUAGAUGAAAAUUAUACCUCAUUGUAGCUUUAAUUUUAAUUUCUCUUAUUAUGUGUAAGACAAACAUUAUUAUUUAUGUCUUCAGAAAAUUAAUAAGGUAAAGAUUGAUGGCAUUUAAGUUGAAGGCAGUUAAGUGAUCCAACAACACCUAAUAAGUGAGAAUGCCCAGAAAGUGAUCUGCUAAGCUUGCCACCUUGGCCACCAUUUCACCUUGUUUCCAUAGCACCCAGCACAGUGUGGGGGAUGAAAGGUUUGCAUUUCCUGGGAGUUUUCCUAUCCUUGGUCUUAGUAGUUCUCAAAAAAGGUGUUGAAGAAUGCCUGUUAUAAAGGGAAAUAAAACUCCUUACUAAAAUGGCAAGAUCAAUGAAUUCUAAAGAAUCCUCCCAAAAUCCCUUUAAAAUCUUAGGUAUUCACCCUCACCUCUGCCCUGAGAUAGAUCUGAAUCAAUAUUAAGAAACUUGAUACUUUCCAAUCUAUCCUGAAUCUGAGUAACCACAAUGAUUGACAUAAAAUUCAUGUUCUAGACUUCUAGGAGAGGUGAAUUUAUCCUAAUACUGAUGACACAUAUUUGAAAAAACACUCUUUCUUUUCCACUUCCUACUCAGAAACACUAGUUUCCUCUCUGUAUGUGACUUCAAACUUGGACCUUUGGUUUCCUUAUCCUCUGGGACCCUGAGAACCUGUGGUUUCCGAGUAGCAGUUAAAGACUUUGCCUUCAUUCAUGAUGUAUAUGCAUAUAUCAUUGGAGUUUGUUGGCAGGUGUAGGCUUGUCCCUGACUUGUGCUGUCUCUUGAUACUCCUGUCCCAGUUUGCUGCCGAAGGAGGAUUAUUCACCCUGAUCAUCAUUUGCCUGAAGUCAGGGUUGGGUCUUGGAAUAUGAGAAAAGACAGAGCCAUCUGGGGAGGAGUGGGUUUCCCAGGGCAGAACAGCUUGUGGUAAUUUGACAACUGUUAAGCAAAUCAACAAAGCAACUAAAUGAAGCAAACUUUCUGGAAUAGAAGUACUGUCAAUCCUGAAUUAUAAAUUUUCAGUUAUUAUCCUUUAUUUACCAAAUAUUGAGCACCUACUAUGUAUCAAGUACUGUUCUACGUUUUAAAGAUAUAGCAAGUGACUAACAUGGGAAACAUGCCUGCAUAUAGGGUUGUUUGGGGGUUCCCAGGUGGCACUAGUGGUAAAGAACCCACCUGCCAAUGCAGGAGACAUAAGAGUAGUGGGUUCGAUUCAUAGGUCAGGAAGAUCCCCUGGAGGAGGGCAUGGCAACCCACUCCAGUAUUCUUGCCUGGGGAAUUCCAUGGACAGGGGAGCCUGACAGGCUACAGUCCGUGGGGUCGAAAAGAGUCAGACACGACUAAGUGACUAAGCACAGCACCAACGCAGGGUUGUUUUAUCCAAAGGUCAUUGUAAUUGUCUUUCCCCAUUCUUAUGGUGGAUCUGAGGACCUAGUGAAUCAUACCUAGAAAAGAAGCAUCCAUUUCUAGUAAACCACAGCUGCACUUAGACUCAGCCUUAUCUCUUUGCUACAAACAAAAGAAGUGAGCUGAAUUCUUUCCUAACACAGAGCACAUCGUCUAGAUUCCAGGAAGAAAAGUCUUUAAGAUUCUCAAGUCCAUCUGGGGGAAGCAUAAAUGACAAGGAGAAAAAGCACCGGUUUGAAAGCUGGUCAGCCACUUUUCUGCCAAGGGCUUGUCAAAAUUGCUCAAGAGAAAGAAAAAAGAGAAACAAGUGCACAUAUACAUUUUUUAAGUAGCCAGCAACCAAGACAACACCAAUUAUUCAACCACAGUAAAGAAACCAGCAGCCAAACCACACUGAUUAUUUAACCGCGUAUCCAAGUGCUGAACACAGCCAUAGCCAGCCACGUUAAUUUAAUGUAAAUAUCCUGAGUAACCAGCCCCUGUGGAGGCAAGUGUUGCAGCAAAGGACAGGGCCUCACCUUUCCUUGUCUUGGCUCCAGAUGUUUGGAGCUGGAAAACUGGCUAUAAUCCAACUAAUAUCCCACCCCCUCUUUUUCUCUGUUUUGCAUUUUUGUUUCUCUAAAACCCUGAUUCAUUUUUUUUCUCACUGAUCCACUGGUCUCAUACGCACACACAAACUCAGGGAAACAUUUCAUUUGGUGAAUUCUGUUCUUUUCCUCUUGAUUUGUACCUUUUCUUUCCUUUCCUUUUCAUUUCAAUCGUCCUUCUUCUUUUCAACCUCAUUGCUUUCAUUCCUAUGUAUUUGAUUCCUGUUUAUUUAAUUUUUACUUAUCAUCAUAUAUAAAGUUUAUUCUUAGUAAGUGUUUAUAAGGAAAACAUAAACUUUCUUCUUUGCAACUUGCAACUGCAGAAAUUUCCACUAGGUUGAAUUUUACUGUAAAAUAGUUCCUUUCACUGGGAAAUACCCAGACUUGUGAGCCCGGAUGUCCAAGUUUGAAAACAUAGUCCUAUUUUCACUGGCCACAAAUAUAAACAUCUGACUCAAGGUCAGCCAACCCAUUGGUGUCUAUCUUCUGCCUUACUCACUGGUAUCCAAAGCUGCCAAAUAAGAAGAUCAAGUCUGCUGUGCUGUAAGGACUCUCAAGCUCCAAGGAGACAUUACACGAGUAGGUGUCCCAAUCCAUAGUUCCACCUGAGUCAGUCUUCCAGUCAUCCCAGGCCAGGUGUCAGAUGUAUAGGAAGCAGCAUCAGGUGCUUCCAGUCCCCGGCUCUCUGGACAUGCCCCCUCCAGCUGCUUAAGUCUUCCCCACCCAGAUCUCAGACACUGUGGAGCGGAAACCUAGUCCUCUCUGUCUGAAUUCUUGUGCCGCAUCUGAUUUCUUGAUCCACAGAAUCUAUGAACAUAGAAAAAUGGUUAUUCUUUAAUGCCACUAAAUUUAAGCUAGUUAGUUACAUCGUGAUAGAUAACUUGAAUCCCAGCUCAAAGGCUAUUCUGAGAACUAAAGAAAUGAUUGUAUGUAAAAAUGCUUAAAACUAGACCAGUGCCAGCCACAUUGUAAGUUGACCUUCCUCAGUGGUAGCUUUUAUCAUUACUGUGAUAAAAUUUCCACUGAUAAAUAUAGGAAAUUUGAAGAAUUAUUUAAUAAAAAUGCUCUUCUCUCACUCAUCUUUAAAACUUCAUAAGAAAAUCGAGCAGAAUUAUGGAAUUUGGGCUAUUGACUUUAUGGAUCAGAAUCACCAUCAUGAGUGUGGGAAGCAUGACCUCAAGUUUCAGGUAAGCAGCCUAGAGAACAUUUUUGUCUCAAACAGAGAGAGCACACAUCAACUAAACAUCCAUAUGCAAUUGAUUUGGCUACUUGCACUGUAACUUUAUUUCAGUGGCUUGCCCAAUAUUCUCUUGCAAAACUAUAUCCUUCAUGGAUUACCACCAUUAUCAAUGAAUAGCUUUUACUAAACAUUCACAUUUACAGUAUAUGUCAUUGGCUGGACAUAAAGUGUAUGUUACAUGGAGAACUGAGCUUACGUGUGCAUUGUGCCCUUAAUCCUACCGAUUUUAUCGAUGAAAGGUUGAGAUGCUCAGUGCCAUACAGUGAGUAAGCAAAAGAACUGGGAUUUGGAGCUAGGUCUAGCUGACUCUAAAAUCUACCUUAUUUUACAUGACAUGAUACACAAUGCUUACUUGCAACAGUUGGUAUUGGGAAACUGGUCUACUGGGGUCUUAAAUAAUCCUUUCGUCUUUGUAGUCUCUAGCUUAAUGUUGGCCAAUUAUUCCAGCAGACAAACCGAGCAGGUUGGAGGAGGGGGCUGACUUUGGUAUCAGCUUGUUGAGACUGGCAAUCCAACCCCAACUUUGAUACCAUCACAGUGAAGUCAGCCUGGCACAGCCCCCACUUGCCAACUGCCUCAGAAUUGUGGUCUAGCCACAAGCCAGACACCAUAGGCUCUCAGACUGGUGAAAAGGCUGGGCAAAAGGCUUGGAGAGAAAUGGGCGACCUGUAGACUGCGGGUUUUCCAGGCCUGCCAAGCUUUGCUUUCUUAAAGAGAAUGAAAACUAAGUAGUUGGCUGUCUUGGAUUCAGGGUAAUGAUCCCAAUAAAUUCACAUGUAUCAAGUGACUCUUUUUGCAUGUGUAGGCAGCACUGGAAAUAAAUAACUGAAAAGAAAUAAUUAUUUGAUGCUAUCUCAAAUGUCUCUGUUCCCAAUUUUGCAUAAAAGCUUGUUGAUGACUUGAGUCAUCCUGAUGUAUGCGUGGGACCUAUAAAUAUAUAUUGAGCACUCAUGGUAUAAUGUGUCAGGAGCCAUACUUUUUCCUGAAUUUAUUUUGCACUCAGUGUUCAUAUUAACUAAGCUAACACUCUGCCAUGGUGCCAGAUGUGGAUAACGGUGGUCUUUUUCUCUAUUCCUCCAGCCUCAGAGAGGGUCUCACAUUGGCUCUUGCCAGCCUCUGGGUUGUACCACCAUUGUGGGCUCUGCUUCUUAGCUUCUAUCAUCUUUGAAAGUAUAAAAGUGUUAGUUGCUCAGUCGUGUCUAACUCUUUGUGAUCUCAUGGACCAUAGCCCACCAUGCUCCUCUGUCCAUAGGAUUCUCCAGGCAAGAAUACUGGAGUGGGUUGCCAUCCCCAUCUCCAUUUAUCAUCUGUGGAAGGAAUUAAAUUUCCUCUAUUUUAUAUACCUCGAGUGGUUUGUUUUCCUGGUUGGACCCUGACAGAUACAGUUUUUAUUCAGAAUUUAUUUUAUAUGUAUAUGAAUUGCCUUUGAUAUAAGAUUUUAGUAAGAUCUAGAAUGGGAGUCUUUCAGUUCUACAAAUGUUCUGUGGGUUCUUACUAUGUACAAAGUGGUUACAUAGGUAACAAUUUACUGAUUGUUACACAGUCAGGGUCUAAAAAUUUGAGAUCAGCAAAAAGUUUUUUUUCAGGUCAGUGGAAUAUAAUUGACUCAAUCAAUUUUCUGCCUGCAUAUAAUAAGAAGAUACUUGGAGAUGGAAACAUUUAUGAAUGUUCCUGUUUGAACUGUGUCAAAGUCAGGGCUUUUUCUAUGAUGGUGUCAUCAGAUUGCCUACUGGUGUGUAUUCUCAGAGAAUGUGAGCAAGUUCAUUCAAACUGUAAUUUAUACUGAUUAUCUUGCAGGAAAAGUUAGGAUCAUAUUCAGAAAGGAGGGUAGUACACAUGUUUCCUCCCACCCUCAAUACAAAUACAUGAGGAUUGAACCCAAUGGGCCAUUAAGAACUUCCAGAUCAUCAGUCAUUGAUCUAUGAAGCCUAUGAGGUCCACCCACCAGAUAAAUUUACUAGUAAGGAUGGGAAGAGACAGAAUAAGGGAGGCAUGAGAAGAGCCCUUUGUAAUUUUUCAUGACAUUUAAGUGAGCAAAUAAGCUAGUGGUUAGGAUAAUCCCAAAUAAACUGUGUUGACUAAUUUUGUGCAUUUUAUUUACCAAAGAACAUGCCUGCAAAUUCUUAUAUUAUAAAUCAUGAUAUAUUGAGGGAUGCCAAGAAAUCAUGGAUUUUCACUGACUAAAAUCACCUGAUUUCUCAGGGAAGUGGAAGUUAGAGCUUGGAAUAUCUUUAACCACUCUUCCCUGAUACUGCCAGAAUCUUGCUUUUAUUCAGACCUCGUCCUUGUGUUAGCCUCAGAGAGGAAGAGGCUAGAAGAUGUAGCAGACCCAAUGUAGUAAGAAGAGCAUGAAAAGAAGGAAGGAGUGGAAGAGAAAGAAAGAGGAGGGGUGGAAGUACAGAGUAACAAACAGUCAAGGAACUGUAACGGGUAAGGCCACAGCCAUUCCAGAUGCUGUUGCCUGAACGCUUCCUGCUUCCCUCCAUUUCCUGCUUCUCCUAUUGCCUUAGCAGCGGGAAUGCAGCCCUCCUUGUUGCCCUGGCCCUGUGAGGAUGGGUUAAAGGACUUUAAAUUUGUUUUCAUCUCUUUGCUCAGGUGGAUGAAAUAAGGUAAUACAUUUAAGGUGCUUAGAACAGCCUGGCAUGGAGCACAUGGACAAAAAAUAGGAACACUUUCCUCUACUAGUGAAGAAACAGUUAUACUUCAAAUAAAAAAAAGAAAAUUCCAGGAGAUAGUGAAGGACAAGGAAGCCUGGUGUGCUGCAGUCCAUGGGAUCGCAAAGAGUUGGACAUGACUGAGCAACUAAACAACAAAAAUAGAAAUAAGAUGGAGUCAAGCAUCAUUAGUGAGGUGGAUUCUUUAUCGCUGAACCAUUGGGGAACUAACCCUCAGGUUGAGAAUGUUCAAAGAGUUGGAGUCGAACCUGCGUUCCAUCAACAACAGGAGCGAGUGAAAUUGCAACUUGCCCUUCCAUCUUCAAUUGCUGAGGAUCAUUCAGUUCUACCAUCUCCCACCUCUUCUCCCUCCUCCAGGCAGUAACUCUUCUUGCCUGUUCACUCGAUGCCAGUCCCUGUAUGCCAGCUAUUGUAUUGUACUACUAACUUUUCUAAGUACUGUACUGUAAAAUUAAAAAUGUUUUAUUUUUUGUUUGCUUUUUCUGUACUACAUGUAUGAAAAGUAUUGUAAACGUAUUACAGCACAGUACUAUAUAGCAGAUUGUGCUAGUUGAAUUCCUAGGCUAAAUUUGUUGUGCCAACAAACAAAUUGGACUUACAACUGCUCUCAGAACAGAAAUCAUUCAACUUGUUCAUAAGUAGGGGACUUACUGUACAGGAGUUGUGAAAGGUGAGUAGGGCCAUUGUACACAUUCUGGAAAACCAAACAUUUAAAGCAGACAUUGAGAACAUUUGGUUCCAUAUUCAUCCUUCAGGGCAUUAAAAUUGCCAGUCAGUUGACCUUAAAAUAGGAAGCUUAUGGCUCAGUGGUAAAGAAUGCACCAGCCAUGCAGGAGCCAUAAGAAACACAGGUUCAACCCCUGGGUUGGGAAGAUCUCCUCGAGGAGGAAAUAGUAACCCACUCCAGUAUUCUUGCCUAGAUAAUCCCAUGGACAGAGGAGCUUGGCAGACUACAGCCCAUAGGAUUACAAAGAGGCAGACAUGACUAAGCAACUGAGCACACAUGCAUCAAGGUGGGCCCAACAUAAUCAGAAUGAUCCUCAGAAAUGGAAGGGAAGGCAGAGGGUUAAGAGUCAGAGAAGAUGUGAUG
ensembl:lncRNA